rfam:Picea glauca, whole genome shotgun sequence.
GGGGAAAUGAUGAAAUAUCUUUCCCCAAAUGAUCGACUAUGAUAUAAUCCACUGCUUUCUGCUCUUAUUCGGAGCAGUCCAAGCCAGUCGCUUCUGAUCCCC